rnacentral:lncRNA from 1 species
GGGUCAAACAUGAUGACCUCGCGAUGGGUCGAUGCUUUCCCAUUUUGCAGAAACGCAUUGCGCGCUCCAUCGUGGAACGAGUCGGCUGGAAUGAAUGGCCGAGGGGGGGCGCUGGGGUUUGGAAACGUUGUUCCUGGCUGCUGCUGCUGCUGCUGGCAAAGGGGUACCCAAGGAUGGUGGGAAUAAAUUCUGCCAACCUUUCCCCCCCUCUCACACCAACUUCAUUAAGAAGGGGACCCCGACAUUGGGGACCCCCUCCAAAGCUGCGCCGGAGUUCCGCAGUCGUUUUGCAGCGCUCUGGGUAAUUGAGGGGUUCGUAGUGGACACCCACAAGUCUAACCUUGUCCAAGUAGCUUCAAACCGGUGCCAAAGUUUGGCAGAGAAAACCCCAUGUUUUGCAGCGACCUACACACUGAGUAAUUGAUAGGUAUCGCCCUAAAACCCAACAUUGUCCGAUUCAUUUCUGGACAUGGGUGUAGCCAGGAUAUAUUGGGGGUUCAGGACCAAGAUAUUGGUCACGCAAUUGGUCAGUUAAGCAUUUUUAUUUAUUUAGUUUAUGGGGGGCAGCUGCACCCCCUGGCUGUGCCCAUGAAUCCCCCCUUUUAGAAACUAAUGGUUUGAAAGAUCGGUCAAUAACAAUUAAUAAUGCAUUUUAUCUUAAUUUAGUAAACAAUGAAGGCGCUGUGAAAUUUUUCAACAUACCCAUUUAGCAUGCCCGAAGAGCUGUGCGGAUAAAUAUGUGUUUACUAUAGAGCUGGAAAAAAUGGAAUUGCAGCUUUGAUUGUUCAUUUAACACGGAUGUUGUGUUCAUUCCAGUUGUCAUGGACUUACCUUGAAGACCAGGGAUUGAAUCCCAUCACUCAAUCAGCCGCGAAACUCAAUGGGAGAUCUUGGGCCGUCCACCAUCUCUUAGCCUCACCUACGUCAAAGGGUUGUUGUGAAGAGGAAAUGGAGAGGAGGAAAAGAACCUUGUACACCAGCUUGAGCUCCUUGGAAGAAAAAGAGCAUGGUAUAUAAAUGUAAUAAAUAAAUAAUAGUCAAAUCUAAAAUGUCAUUCACAUUUUUCAGAGGACUGUUCAUAGGAAGAACAUAUAUUUAUGUACCUCUAGCAUGCUCAAAUUGGUACAGGUUUUCAGCGCCUUCCCAUUUUUAUUUUUAUUUUGAAGCAAUGUAAGGGAAGUUCAGAGGGACACGGGUGGCACUGUGGGUUAAACCACAGGGCCUAGGGCUUGCCAAUCAGAAGGUCGGCAGUUCGAAUCCCCACGACGGGGUGAGAACCCGUUGCUUGUUCCCUGCUCCUGCCAACCCAGCAGUUUGAAAGCACGUCAAAGUGCAAGUAGAUAAAUAGGAACCGCUCUGGCAGGAAGGUAAACGGUGUUUCCGUGCGCUGCUCUGGUUCACCAGAAGCGGCUUAGUCAUGCUGGCCACAUGACCCGGAAGCUGUAUGCCGGCUCCCUCGGCCAAUAAAGCGAGAUGAGCGCCGCAACCCCAGAGUCAGUCACGACUGGACCUAAUGGUCAGGGGUCCCUUUACCUUUUUAAGGGAAGUUCAUGGUAUUAGUUGUCACAUCUUAAAAUGUAAAAUAAAGUAUGUCCAAGUAAUUUUUAAAAUUUGUUUGAAAUUAACAUAUAAACCACAUUAAGUAUGCUUUCUAUAAGUUGGCCCUAAUUAAAUAUUUUAGUUCAUCUACAUUGGCUAAUGGGAGGAGGGGUCAGAAAUACUGCAUAUAAAAUUAACAUGGCACUUGUUUAGUUUUUAGUUUUUUUAGUUUAUUAAAAUUAAGUCAAGCAUGCUAUAUCAGAUCUCUCAUCAAUUUAGAGUGGAGAUAAAAAUUCCAGGGGAAAAAAUCUCGGUUUUCUUUUUUUCAUUCAAAAUGUUUCAGGAAACACACACGGUGCCUCCCAGGCCAAGCAAAAUGACAGGUUUGACCUGCCUCUUUGGCAUCCCAUAUGUAGGUUUGUUAGUUAACACAAAAACCCUGUUGAGCAUGAAGUUACCAGCAUGGAUUCUGUGCGUGUUUCUACAUGCCAAGUUUUAAAACAGGUGUAGGAGGGCACACAUGCACUUGAAACACAGUACAAUAUGCUGCCUUGAAUAUGCAUACCAACUUUUAAGUCUGAUAUCACUCUCAGCCUUCAAAUCUGAUUGUUCCAUAUUUGGACAUCUUGCCUGGCCCCUUUUGGAAGUGGGUUUUGGGGAUGACACCUUGAGAGUAGUCCAGCAGGCAUGUUUACGUUUAAAACAUCAAUCUACGUUUUAGGUAUGUAUGGAAUUGAGAGCUGGACCAUCAAGAAGGCUGAUCGCCGGAGAAUUGAUGCUUUUGAAUUAUGGUGCUGGAGGAGAUUCAAACCUAUCCAUUCUUGAGGAAAUCAGCCGUGAGUGCUCACUGGAAGGACAGAUCCUGAAGCUGAGGCUCUAAGACUUUGGCCACCUCAUGAGAAGAGAAGACUCCCUGGAAAAGACCCUGAUGUUGGGAAAGAUGGAGGGCACAAGGAGAAGGGGACGACAGAGGACAAGAUGGUUGGACAGUGUUCUUGAAGCUACCAACAUGAGUUUGACCAAACUGCGGGAGGCAGUGGAAGACAGGAGUGCCUGGCGUGCUCUGGUCCAUGGGGUCAUGAAGCGUCGGACACAACUAAACGACUAAACAACAACAACAACCAGCUUGACAACCCAAAAUCCAUUUUCAAAAACAGGAGAGAGAAAUGUAAAACCGGUGGUGUUAUGUACUGAGUUGUAAACGCAGCAAUUGAAGUGUGACCUCUUCUUGGAUAGUGUUUUUUCCUAGCACACUGAAGCACACGGUCCAUGAGGCUGACAUUUCAUUGUGCCUGAGGUAAAUUCUCAGCUGACAGCUGCAUUAAAUGGGAGUCAAAACCUGCCACCUGAGCUGGUAGUUUUAGCUUGUUUUGGGGUAAGAUCAUCUUUGACUUGGGAUCAAAUCUGGGGAGGGGUAUAUGCUGGACUUUUUUUUCAGCCGGAACUCUCCGGAACUCAGUUCCGGCAUCUCUCAGAUGGGUGCCAUUGCCAUUAUAAGAGAACGAGGGUGAGUUCCAACACCUCUUUUUCUGAUCAAGUGCUCCUGCCUGCUGGCCUGGAAGAUAGCUAGGGUGGGCUCUCUCUGACUUGUCUAUUUCUCUUUGAG